AUCCGAAGUUUUCUAAAUGAGAGCUGCUUAAUAUCUAAUUCAAGGUCUUUUGCAAUAUUAGCUAUAACAGAGUCCUUUCUCAUUUCUUCAGCAAUUGAAUAAUGAAGCUGAGCAGAUACUGAAUGACAAAGCAAUGAAAAUAAGAAGGAAAAUAUUACUUGCCAUCUAAUUCCUUUGUUUUUCUCUGAAUCUUGUGUUUUCAUCUCUGCUUUUUUCAAAGUGAUUCCUUUAUUGUAAGUUACUUGUAUUCCAAAUCAGUGCUGAAUCCACCUCUUUAGAAGAAUAUAGCCAGAUCUUCUGUGCUCUGUUUGUGAGAGAAUCCAAAAAUGGCUGUGUUUCUUCUUGCAGAUCUGCAGUGUGUGUUACUGAUGGAAAUAUCAGUGGAUCUCCAGCUCCGUAUUCUUCUCCUUAUUGGUCAAACAGCGGCGCUCAGAGGUAUAAAUGUGGAAUUGCAUGACUAAGAAUUUGUC